AAUCCACCACAUCCUUUCAUUUCCUGAAACAUACCACGCACUUUCUCAUCUGGGGCCUUCAUUCAUUGCUGCAUUUGGGCUGCUGGAAAGUCUCGUCUCAUUUUCAGAUUACCAUUCAAAGGCGGUGCAAGUCUAUCAAUGGAGAAUCCCUCUGGGACAGUGAUGAGGAACUAGGUGCAAAGCAGCAUGGGAAGACCUGGGGUAGGCGCGGAUUCCUGGCUUCUACUGAACAAACAAUGCGGAAGAGUUUCAAGAGACAAGUAUGCUCUAUGCUUAACAAAGAAAAAUUCACUCAGAAAAAGUGGAGAUCAAAUGUAUCCUAAAAUGUUUCUAUGCAUCAUGAAGCAACUUGAUAACCACAAAGCCGUAACAAGGGAUAAAUGCAAUGAACAUGA
rnacentral:lncRNA from 1 species